UACAGAGGGUGCGAGCGUUAAUCGGAAUUACUGGGCGUAAAGCGCGCGUAGGUGGUUUUGCAAGUCGAGUGUGAAAGCCCCGGGCUCAACCCCGGAACUGCCUUUGAUACUGGUAGUCUCGAGUCCGGAAGAGGUGAGUGGAAUUCCUGGUGUAGCGGUGGAAUGCGCAGAUAUCAGGAGGAACACCAAUAGCGAAGGCAGCUCGCUGGGACGGUACUGACGCUGAGACGCGAAAGCGUGGGGAGCAAACAGG
rnacentral:rRNA from 1 species